UAUGAUCGUGACCUUUCCCGCCU
rnacentral:piRNA from 1 species